UUUUAUGAGAGUUUGAUCCUGGCUCAGGACGAACGCUGGCGGCGUGCCUAAUACAUGCAAGUCGAACGCCUCUUUUUCCACCGGAGCUUGCUCCACCGGAAAAAGAGGAGUGGCGAACGGGUGAGUAACACGUGGGUAACCUGCCCAUCAGAAGGGGAUAACACUUGGAAACAGGUGCUAAUACCGUAUAACAAUCGAAACCGCAUGGUUUCGAUUUGAAAGGCGCUUUCGGGUGUCGCUGAUGGAUGGACCCGCGGUGCAUUAGCUAGUUGGUGAGGUAACGGCUCACCAAGGCGACGAUGCAUAGCCGACC
rnacentral:rRNA from 1 species